GAUGAACGCUGGCGGCGUGCCUAAUACAUGCAAGUCGAGCGAACAGACGAGGAGCUUGCUCCUCUGACGUUAGCGGCGGACGGGUGAGUAACACGUGGAUCACCUACCUCUAAUACUGGGAUAACUUCGGGAAACCGGAGCUAAUACCGGAUAAUAUAUUGAACCGCAUGGUUCAAUAGUGAAAGACGGUUUUGCUGUCACUUUUAGAUGGUUCCGCGCCGCAUUAGCUAGUUGGUAAGGUAACGGCUUACCAAGGCAACGAUGCGUAGCCGACCUGAGAGGGUGAUCGGCCACACUGGAACUGAGACACGGUCCAGACUCCUACGGGAGGCAGCAGUAGGGAAUCUUCCGCAAUGGGCGAAAGCCUGACGGAGCAACGCCGCGUGAGUGAUGAAGGUCUUCGGAUCGUAAAACUCUGUUAUUAGGGAAGAAAAAAUGUGUAAGUAACUAUGCACGUCUUGACGGUACCUAAUGAGAAAGCAACGGCUAACUACGUG
rnacentral:rRNA from 1 species